CGCUGAUACCACACUCCCACAUUACACUGAGUGGACAAAACAUUAGGAACACCUCUUUCCGUGACCUAGACUGACCAGGUGAUUACAGGUGAAAGAUAUGAUCCCUUUAUUGAUGUCACUUGUUAAAUCCACUUCAAAUCAGUGUAGAUGAAGGGGCGGAGUCAGGUUAAAGAUGAAGGGGAGGAGACAGGUUAAAGAUGAAGGGGAGGAGACAGGUUAAAGAUGAAGGGGAGGAGUCAGGUUUAAGAUGAAGGGGAGGAGACAGGUUAAAGAUGAAGGGGAGGAGACAGGUUAAAGAAGGAUUUUAAGCUUUGAGACAAUUGAGAUGUGGAUUAUGUCUGUGUGCCAUUCAGAGGGUGAACGGACAAGACAACAUAUAUAAGUGA
ensembl:lncRNA